UAUUAAAAAAUUUAUCAAUUUUUAUUAUUAAAGACUGGUGUGAUUAACAAAAUAAUCAAAUAAUUACACGUGUCAUUCUGACAAAUAGAGGCUAAUUUUUAAUAAUAAGAAUAGAUGAAUUUUUUAACA
rnacentral:pre_miRNA from 1 species